rnacentral:rRNA from 1 species
UACGAAGGGGGCUAGCGUUGCUCGGAAUCACUGGGCGUAAAGCGCACGUAGGCGGCUUUCUAAGUCAGAGGUGAAAGCCCGGAGCUCAACUCCGGAACUGCCUUUGAUACUGGAAAGCUUGAGUCCGGGAGAGGUGAGUGGAACUGCGAGUGUAGAGGUGAAAUUCGUAGAUAUUCGCAAGAACACCAGUGGCGAAGGCGGCUCACUGGCCCGGUACUGACGCUGAGGUGCGAAAGCGUGGGGAGCAAACAGG